UACGAGGGGUGCAAGCGUUGCUCGGAAUUAUUGGGCGUAAAGGGCAUGUAGGUGGUCUUAUUUGUCUUGUGUGAAAUCCUUGGGCUUAACUCAAGAAGUGCGCAAGAAACGGUAAGACUAGAGUCCCAGAGAGGCUUGUGGAAUUCCCGGUGUAGCGGUGAAAUGCGUAGAUAUCAGGAGGAACACCGGUGGUGUAAACGGCUUUCUGGACCAUAACUGACGCUGAGGCACGAAAGCGUGGGUAGCAAACAGG
rnacentral:rRNA from 1 species